rnacentral:rRNA from 1 species
GGCAGGCCUAACACAUGCAAGCCGAGCGGAUGAGGGAAGCUUGCUUCCCGAUUUAGCGGCGGACGGGUGAGUAAUGCCUAGGAAUCUGCCUAUUAGUGGGGGAUAACGUUCCGAAAGGAACGCUAAUACCGCAUACGUCCUACGGGAGAAAGUGGGGGAUCUUCGGACCUCACGCUAAUAGAUGAGCCUAGGUCGGAUUAGCUAGUUGGUGGGGUAACGGCUCACCAAGGCGACGAUCCGUAGCUGGUCUGAGAGGAUGAUCAGCCACACUGGAACUGAGACACGGUCCAGACUCCUACGGGAGGCAGCAGUGGGGAGUAUUGGACAAUGGGCGAAAGCCUGAUCCAGCCAUGCCGCGUGUGUGAAGAAGGUCU